GAGAGUAAAAAAUAAACAAGGAAACCACAAUUUGUACUUCACGAUAGCUCUCUUUUCUUCAAAAAAUAUCCACCAUGCAAAGAUGUUUUGUGCCUCAGUCCAUUUUUUCUUUUCCCUUUUUUUGUUCUUUU
rnacentral:ribozyme from 1 species